rnacentral:rRNA from 1 species
UACGUAGGGUGCGAGCGUUGUCCGGAAUUAUUGGGCGUAAAGAGCUCGUAGGCGGUUUGUCACGUCUGCUGUGAAAUCCCGAGGCUCAACCUCGGGCCUGCAGUGGGUACGGGCAGACUGGAGUGCGGUAGGGGAGAGUGGAAUUCCUGGUGUAAGCGGUGAAAUGCGGCAGAUAUCAGGAAGAACCACCCGUGGCGAAGGCGGCUCUCUGGGACGGUACUGACGCUGAGACGCGAAAGCGUGGGGAGCGAACAGG